GCUCCCCUGCCCCUCCCUGUUGGAGAAUCACUGAAUCAUUGCCAGCUACCUAGCACAGGAAAUCACAAGAGCAUUGAUCGCGUCUGCCUGGGACUAUUCUAGGACACUUUCGUCUCUUGUCCUCCGCAUCCUGUGAAAUCAGUGUCUUCCUUGGUCAUUCUGGCACAUAGUAGGAAAUUCAAAACAGACUAGACUUGCCUGGACAGAGCCCCUCCUUCUGUGGAUGAAGACUUUGAGACCCUGCAGUGGCUAUUGGCAGAGCUGAUGGACAGCCCACCACGAACAGCCAGGGAGCUUCUGUAGGCUCCUCGGGGGCUCUUCAAACGGAGAGAUGUUUAUAUCUUUUCGGCGCCGUCCAAAUUACAAGCAGGAAACUGGAGCCUGGGGAACAUAAACCAGGGGAUACAAGCCAUGGCUUCUCUCUCCCAGCUGGUUCAGGAGGCCAGUUCUUUUCAUGGAAGGACCCAACAGAGCUGAGGAGGGGUGCCCGUGCAGCUGUGUGGCUGUGCCAGGACAGGCCUGGCUUUCUGGGCCCAGCCCUCUACAGAAGCGCCUCCUCUCUACUCUGGCCCCUUGCCCUGUCCCCUUCCUGCUCCAGACCCAAGGGAGCUUCAGGACUUGGGUCAGAGCCUAUGGGGUCUAAGCAUCCCUGCCAAGGAGUGCAGUUGCAGACCGUACAGGGAGCAGGCUCAGGACGUAUGUACCCACCAGAGCUUAGCCUGAGAGUUACUUCCCGAACACAACACAGCUGUUUGGACCCAGCACCCCUGCUGAUGCGGCUCUGCUCUUUCCAUCCCCGCCCC